rnacentral:tRNA from 1 species
AACUUAGCUCAGUUGGUAGAGCAGCUGAUUUGUAAUCAGCAGGUCGUGGGUUCGAGUCCCACAAUUG